CCCUUAGAUGUUCUGGGCCGCACGCGCGCUACACUGAUGCAUUCAACGAGUCUAAAACCUGGUCUGAUAGGGCUGGGUAAUCUUUUGAAUGUGCAUCGUGAUUGGGAUAGAUGAUUGCAAUUCUUCAUCUUCAACGAGGAAUGCCUAGUAAACGCAAGUCAUCAGCUUGCAUUGAUUACGUCCCUGCCCUUUGUACACACCGCCCGUCGCUCCUACCGAUUGAUUGUUCCGAUGAAUACCAUGGACUGAGAGUAUGAAUGGGUUCGCCUAUUUCUGCUUCUCGGGAAGUGGAGUAAAUCUUAACAUUUAGAGGAAGGAGAAGUCGUAACA
rnacentral:rRNA from 1 species